rnacentral:rRNA from 1 species
CAGUCGCCGCGGUAAUACGUAGGGUGCGAGCGUUAAUCGGAGUUACUGGGCGUAAAGCGUGCGCAGGCGGUAGUGUAAGACAGGUGUGAAAUCCCCGGGCUUAACCUGGGAACUGCGCUUGUGACUGCACAGCUAGAGUAUGGCAGAGGGGGGUGGAAUCCCACGUGUAGCAGUGAAAUGCGUAGAGAUGUGGAGGAACACCGAUGGCGAAGGCAGCCCCCUGGGCCAAUACUGACGCUCAUGCACGAAAGCGUGGGGAGCAAACAGGAUUAGAUACCCGAGUAGUCCCUGUCUCUUAUAC